AUCCACCAACUGCAAUCUUUCAGUAUCUACUUGUAUUACUAUACAUAUUCACAAUGAAUGUGACAGCCGUCCUUGCUCCUCUCCUGCUUGCUGCCGUCGCCAUGUUUCAAGGCGCUAAUGGGCAUCAUCAUCAUCAUCAUCAUCAUGGGCACCACCACGGGCACCACCACGGGCACCACCACGGGCACCAUCACGGAAAAUAGAUGAGACGUUUGGGGACUCAUCGAAACAUAUUGAUGCAUCAUCUAACACAAUAUGUUUUCCAUCUCAGCUGUGCUAUCGAAUAAAGUUUACAUGAUUCUUAUUUAUGAUGUU